UCAGUCGACUCCUACGGGGAGGCAGCAGUGGGGAAUAUUGCACAAUGGGGGAAACCCUGAUGCAGGCCAUGCCGCGUGUGUGAAGAAGGCCUUCGGGUUGUAAAGCACUUUCAGUAGGGAGGAAGGUAGUGUAGUUAACACCUGCACUAUUUGACGUUACCUACAGAAGAAGCACCGGCUAACUCCGUGCCAGCAGCCGCGGUAAUACGGAGGGUGCGAGCGUUAAUCGGAAUUACUGGGCGUAAAGCGCAUGCAGGCGGCCUGUUAAGUCAGAUGUGAAAGCCCGGGGCUUAACCUCGGAAUUGCAUUUGAAACUGGCAGGCUAGAGUCUUGUAGAGGGGGGUAGGAAUUUCAGGUGUAGCGGUGAAAUGCGUAGAGAUCUGAAGGAAUACCAGUGGCGAAGGCGGCCCCCUGGACAAAGACUGACGCUCAGAUGCGAAAGCGUGGGGAGCAAACAGGAUUAGAUACCCUGGUAG
rnacentral:rRNA from 1 species